GACGGGGGAUGCGAGCGUUAUCCGGAAUGAUUGGGCGUAAAGGGUCCGCAGGUGGCCCGGUCAGUCCGCUGUCAAAGCCUGGGGCUCAACCCUGGAGAGGCGGCGGAGACCACCGGGCUUGAGUCCGGUAGGGGCAGAGGGAAUUCCCGGUGGAGCGGUGAAAUGCGCAGAUAUCAGGAGGAACACCGGUGGCGAAGGCGGGUCUCUGGGCCGAUACUGACGCUGAGGAGCGAAAGCGUGGAGAGCGAACAGG
rnacentral:rRNA from 1 species